rnacentral:ncRNA from 1 species
UCUGACAAUCCUAGAGAUCUCAGAACCGUUACCAUAGGCCUUGAACUCCUACAGAUCCGGGUAAUGCGCUGGAAGUGUUCGCAAGGUAAAUCGUAGUGAGAGGUGCUGCAUGGCUGUUCGUUCGAGGCUCGUGUUGUUGAAAUUUGUUGGGUUAAGUUCUGUCGCACCGGAGCGCAAAGCCCGCUGAAUCGGUCUGUUGCCAGCAUUAAGUUGGGCACUAUGCACGAGGACUGCCUGGAGUUAAACCGGAGGGAAGGUAGGAUGACGUUCCUAGUCUCUGGGCCCUUAUGUCUAGGGCUACCACGUAAUGACUAAUGGGCGUACUGGAGGGCAAGCGAUACGUUCGCGGCCUGGGAGCAAAUCUCAAAAAAAGCGCUGUACUCAGUCGGAUGUGGAUGUCUGCAACUCUGACUCCAUGAAGGUUUGGAAUCGCUAGUAAUCGGAGAUCAGCCACGCUCCGGUGAAUACGGUUUCCCAGGGCCUUUGUACCACAGCCGCCCGUCAACACCAUGGGAGUUGUUUUUUCAUUUUAAGACGUGACUUCUAACCGCACGGAGGUAGGGCGUCUACAGUGGAGCGAUGUACUGGGUUGAAAGUUUACGUAACAAGGGUAGCCUUGAGGGGAAUCCUGCGUGCUGGAUCACCUCCUUU